rnacentral:tRNA from 1 species
UGGGAUGUAGCUCAGUGGGAGAGUGCUUGCCUGGUAUGCAUGAAGUCCUAGGCUCCAUCUCAA